AAGUUUAUGGUCAAGCUACAAAGGGCGAACGGUGGAUGCCUUGGCGCCAGAAGGCGAUGAAAGACGUGGAUAGCUGCGAUAAGCCUCGGGGAGCCGCUAAACAGGCAUAGAUCCGGGGAUCUCUGAAUGGGGUAACCCGUCCAGAGUCAUGUCUGGACAUCAUCGACUGAAUUCAUAGGUCGAUGAGGCCAACGAGGGGAACUGAAACAUCUCAGUACCCUCAGGAAAAGAAAGCAACUGCGAUUCCCAAAGUAGUGGCGAGCGAAAUGGGAACAGCCCAAACCAAGAAUAUGCUCAAGCCGGCAGGCGUUGUAUUCUUGGGGUUGCGGGACGUUAUCGGAGAAGGCUGCCGACUUCUCGGAAAGUUAUCAAUUCAGUUUCUAACCGAAGGGUCUGGGAAGGCCCACCAUAGAAGGUGAAAGUCCUGUAGGUGAAAGAAACUGAACUUUCUGGAUAGCGUUCCCGAGUACCACGGGACACGGGAAAUCCUGUGGGAAGCUGGGAGGACCAUCUUCCAAGGCUAAAUACUCUCUGGCGACCGAUAGUGCACAAGUACCGUGAGGGAAAGGUGAAAAGUACUCCGGUGAGGAGAGUGAAAUAGUACCUGAAACCGUUUGCCUACAAGCGGUAGGAGUCCGAUGUCCGCUUCGGCGGACCGGAUGACUGCGUGCCUUUUGCAUAAUGAGUCAGCGAGUUAUUCUGCGCAGCAAGGUUAAGUCCCUGAAGGGGAUGGAGCCGUAGCGAAAGCGAGUCCGAAAAGGGCGUUUAGUUGUGCAGAAUAGACCCGAAGCCAGGUGAUCUACCCAUGGCCAGGGUGAAAGUCGAGUAACAUCGACUGGAGGCCCGAACCGGUGUUGGUUGAAAACAGCUCGGAUGAGCUGUGGGUAGGGGUGAAAGGCCAAUCAAACCUGGAAAUAGCUGGUUCUCCCCGAAAUAUAUUUAGGUAUAGCCUUGCAAAUUCAGUGGCGGAGGUAGAGCACUGGAUGGGCUAGGGGCCCUACCAGGUUACCAAACCCAACCAAACUCCGAAUGCCGCCAACUGCUAUUGCAGGAGUCAGACUACGGGCGAUAAGGUCCGUGGUCGAGAGGGAAACAGCCCAGACCGCCAGCUAAGGUCCCGGAGAGUGUGCUAAGUGGAGAAGGAUGUGGAUUUGCUUAGACAACCAGGAGGUUGGCUUAGAAGCAGCCAUCCUUUAAAGAAAGCGUAAUAGCUCACUGGUCUAGUGAAUCUGCGCCGAAAAUCCAACGGGGCUCAAGCACACCACCGAAGCUGCGGCUUGAUGGACGCGAUAAGCGUUUGUCAGGGGUAGGGGAGCAUUCCAUAGUAGGAUGAAGCCAGACCGUGAGGACUGGUCGACGAGAUGGAAGAGAUUAUGCUGACAUUAGUAGCGAUAAAGCCGGUGAAAAACCGGCUCGCCGUAAGCCUAAGGGUUCCUGAGUAAAGUUAAUCUGCUCAGGGUGAGUCGAUACCUAAGCCGAGGCCGAAAGGCGUAGGUGAUGGAAAACAGGUUAAUAUUCCUGUACCACUCCUUCCGCGUUUGAGCGAUGGGGGGACGUAGGAGGGUAGGCCAUUCCCGUGUUGGAAUACGGGAUCCAAGCUGGUAGGUGGAUUCGCCAGGAAAAUCCGGCGAAUCAUAACACCGAGAAGUGAUGGGGAUCCGCCUAACAAGCGGAGCAAACUGGCCGAGCCCACACUACCAAGAAAAGCCUCUAGCGAGUGGAAGGGGUGAUCGUACCGCAAACCGACACAGGUAGGCGGGGAGAGUAUCCCAAGGCGCUUGAGUGAUCCCUCGUUAAGGAACUCGGCCAAUUAACUCCGUAACUUCGGGAAAAGGAGUGUCUCUGGUCGUGAAGGGACUUGCUCCUGGAGCGACUGGAGAUCGCAGUGAAAAGGCUGUAGCGACUGUUUAAUAAAAACACAGGUCUCUGCGAAGUCGGAAGACGAUGUAUAGGGGCUGACGCCUGCCCGGUGCCGGAAGGUUAAGGGGAUAUGUUAUCCUGCCGCAAGGCGGGAGAAGCAUUGAACUGAAGCCCCGGUAAACGGCGGCCGUAACUAUAACGGUCCUAAGGUAGCGAAAUUCCUUGUCGGGUAAGUUCCGACCUGCACGAAUGGCGUAACGACUUCAGCACUGUCUCAACGAGGGGCUCAGCGAAGUUGUGAGAGCGGUGAAGACGCCGCUUACCCGCGACAAGACGGAAAGACCCCGUGCACCUUUACUACAACUUGGCAAUGGACUUUGGGAUAGUCUGUGUAGGAUAGGUGGGAGGCUGAGAAGUUCCACCGCCAGGUGGGAUGGAGCCGUCCUUGAAAUACCACCCUGAUUAUUCUGAAGUUCUAACUCUGGUCCGUGGAUCCGGAUCGAGGACAUUGCCUGGUGGGUAGUUUGACUGGGGCGGUCGCCUCCUAAAGAGUAACGGAGGCGCACGAAGGUUCCCUCAGGCUGAUUGGAAACCAGCCGUAGAGUGCAAAGGCAUAAGGGAGCUUGACUGCGAGACUGACAAGUCGAGCAGGUGCGAAAGCAGGUCUUAGUGAUCCGGCGGUUCCGCAUGGAAGGGCCGUCGCUCAACGGAUAAAAGGUACGCCGGGGAUAACAGGCUGAUCUCCCCCAAGAGUCCACAUCGACGGGGAGGUUUGGCACCUCGAUGUCGGCUCAUCGCAUCCUGGGGCUGAAGUAGGUCCCAAGGGUUCGGCUGUUCGCCGAUUAAAGCGGUACGUGAGCUGGGUUUAGAACGUCGUGAGACAGUUCGGUCCCUAUCUGUCGUGGGCGCAGGAUAUCUGCGAGGAGCUGUCCCUAGUACGAGAGGACCGGGAUGGACGAACCUCUAGUGUACCAGUUGUUCCGCCAGGAGCAGCGCUGGGUAGCUAUGUUCGGAAUGGAUAACCGCUGAAAGCAUCUAAGCGGGAAGCCAACCUCAAGAUUAGAUAUCCCUCUUCGGUGGCGACACCGGAGCUAAAGACCCCUUGUAGACUACAAGGUUGAUAGGCCAGAUGUGUAAGCCCGGUAACGGGUUGAGCUUACUGGUACUAAUGGGUCGUGAGGCUUGACCAUA
rnacentral:rRNA from 1 species